AUAUGAUAUGAUGAGCUUCAUACAUGUAAUUGCUGACAUGAUAGCAUUUUAUCAUGUAUUAGCUCUAGCUAAUCAUAG
rfam:Capsicum annuum cultivar Zunla-1 chromosome 1, whole genome shotgun sequence